UAUGUUCUAGGGACCAACAGGGCUGAUAUGUUCUAGGGUCCAACAGGGCUGAUAUGUUCUAGGGUCCAACAGGGCUGAUAUGUUCUAGGGUCCAACAGGGCUGAUAUGUUCUAGGGACCAACAGGGCUGAUAUGUUCUAGGGACCAACAGGGCUGAUAUGUUCUAGGGACCAACAGGGCUGAUAUGUUCUAGGGACCAACAGGGCUGAUAUGUUCUAGGGGCCAACAGGGCUGAAAUGUGAAACUGCAUGUAAAGCAUACAUAUAAACAAGUGUAAACAAACAUACGUGUACACUAACAUACAUGUAAACAAACAUACGUGUACACUAACAUACAUGUAAACAAACAUACGUGUACACUAACAUAAAUGUAAACAAACAUACGUGUACACUAACAUACAUGUAAACAAACAUGCGUGUACACUAACAUACAUACAGUGCAUUCAGAAAGUAUUCAGACCCCUUGACUUUUCCCCCAUUUUGUUACGUUUACAGCCUUGUUCUAAAAUGGAUUAAAUAGACCCCCUCAUCAAUCUACACACAAUACCCCAUAAUGACAUCACAAUACCCCAUAAUGACAAUACCCCAUAAUGACAUCACAAUACCCCAUAAUGACAAUACCCCAUAAUGAGAAAGCAAAACCAUGUUUUUGGACAUUUUUACAAAAAAUAUAAACAAUUUAAAUGGAAAUAUCACAUUUACAUCAGUAUUCAGACCCUUUACUCAGUACUUUGUUGAAGCAUCUUAGGUAUGACGCUACAAGCUUGGCACACCUGUAUUUGGGGAGUUUCUCCCAUUCUUCUCUGCAGAUCCUCUCAAGCUCUGUCAGGUUGGAUGGGGAGCGUCGCUGCACAGCUAUUUUCAGGUCUCUCCAGAGAUGUUCGAUCGGGUUCAAGUCCGGGCUCUUGUGCUUAGGGUCGUUGUCCUGUUGGAAGGUGAACCUACACCCCAGUCUGAGGUCCUGAGCGCUCUGGAGCAGGUUUUCAUCAAGGAUCUCUGUACUUUGCUCCGUUCAUCUUUCCCUCGAUCCUGACUAGGCUCCCAGUCCCUGCAGCUGAAAAACAUCCCCACAGCAUGAUGCUGCCACCACCAUGCUUCACCAUAGGGAUGGUGCCUUGUUUCCUCCAGACGUGAUGCUUGGCAUUCAGGCCAAAGAGUUCCAUCUUGGUUUCAUCAGACCAGAGAAUCUUGUUUCUCAUCAUCUGAGAGUCUUUUAGGUGCCUUUUGGCUAACUCCAAGUGGGGUGUCAUGUGCCUUUUACUGUUUGGCCACUACCAUAAAGGCCUGAUUGGUGGAGUGCUGCAGAGAUUGUUGUCCUUCUGGAAGGUUCUCCCAUCUCCACAGAGGAACUUUAGAGCUCUGUCAGAGUGACCAUUGGGUUCUUGGUCACCUCCCUGACCAAGGCCCUUCUCCCCUGAUUGCUCAGUUUGGCCGGGCGACCAGCUCUAGGAAGAGUCUUGUUCCAAACUUCUUCCAUUUAAGAAUGAUGGAGGCCACUGUGUUCUUGGGGACCUUCAAUGCUACAGACAUUUUUUUGGUCCCCUUCCCCAGAUCUGUGCCUCGACACAAUCCUGUCUCGGAGCUCUACAGACAAUUCCUUCGACCUCAUGGCUUGGUUUUUGCUCUGACAUGCACUGUCAACUGUGGGACCUUAUAUAGACAGGUGUGUGCCUUUCCAAAUCAUGUCCAAUCAGUUGAAUUUACCACAGGUGGACUCCAACCAAGUUGUAGAAACAUCUCAAGGAUGAUCAAUGGAAACAGGAUGCAGCUGAGCUCAAUUUAGAGUCUCAGCAAAGAGUCUGAAUACUUAUUUACAUAAGGUACUUCUGUUUUUAUUUUUUAUAAAAAUAAAAAUGUUUUCGCUUCGUCAUUAUGGGGUAUUGUGAUGUCAUUAUGGGGUAUUGUGAUGUCAUUAUGGGGUAUUGUGAUGUCAUUAUGGUGUAUUGUGAUGUCAUUAUGGAGUAUUGUGAUGUCAUUAUGGGGUAUUGUGAUGUCAUUAUGGUGUAUUGUGAUGUCAUUGUGGGGUAUUGUCAUUAUGGGGUAUUGUGAUGUCAUUAUGAGGUAUUGUGAUGUCAUUAUGGUGUAUUGUGAUGUCAUUAUGGGGUAUUGUGAUGUCAUUAUGAGGUAUUGUGAUGUCAUUAUGGUGUAUUGUGAUGUCAUUAUGGGGUAUUGUUUGUAUAUUGCUGAGGAUUUGUAUUUAUGUAAUCCAUUUCAGAAUAAGGCUGUAACGUAACAAAAUGUGGAAAAUGUCAAGGGGUCUGAAUACUUUCCAAAUGCACUGUAUGUAGGUUAGGGAGUUAGAGUUAUUGAUAUGUAGGGUUAGAGUUGACUGCAUUCAAAACCAUGUCUGAUAAUUUCACAAUUUUCCAAACAACACUUGACAAGCACUCUUCCAAAGGAGACUACAUUGAAAACCAAAAAAGGAGCAAUAACAUUUUAAUCGAUGGAAUUGAGGACAUAAAGACUGAAACUUGGUAUGACACAGAACUCAAGGCCAAGAAACUCCUGGCAGAGCAAACUAGACGCUAAACUCAUCGAGAUGUAGAGGGCGCAUAGAAAUGUGUUUUUCUUCCCGAUGCCCAGAUUUAGGUCUCUCUUGUCGUGAUGUGUGUUUUGUCCUUUCAUUUUUAAUCCCAGGCCCCCGUCCCCGCGGAGGCCUUUUGCCUUUUGGUUAGGUCGUCAUUGUAAAGAAGAAUUUGAUCUUAACUGACUUGCUUCGUUAUAUAAAGGUUAAAUAAAUAAAAUAAAGAUCUAUAGUGAUGAAACUGGUUCAAAGAUAUUGAUGAAAUUCUCAGGAGAGCCAAGUGCCUGAAGGGAACUAAAAUCUCCAUUAAAAAAAAGGAACUGCUGCCACAACUAAUUGAAGAAGUGUGUUUCUGUGUUUCACCUCAUGACCAUUACCACACAUUGCCUUAACCCUCUGAAGUCUUCAGUGGUGUUCGGUGGACUGUGUCAAUGUGCCUUCUAUAGGAAGUGCACCCCUAUUGAUGAAACGAACACCAAUGUAUGGUUGUAUUGGACAUGUGAGGCAUACACUUGUUUCUGUUCCACUCAGACUGUGUAUCUCUUUAAAUUGGGCAAGAUAUCAACCCUGAUAACAUGGUCUUUAACCCACUAGAUAUUAAUGAAUCCAAGGAUAUCAACCCUGAUAACAUGGUCUUUAACCCACUAGAUAUUAAUGAAACCAAGGAUAUCAACCCUGAUAACAUGGUCUUUAACCCACUAGAUAUUAAUGAAUCCAAGGAUAUCAACCCUGAUAACAUGGUCUUUAACCCACUAGAUAUUAAUGAAUCCAAGGAUAUCAACCCUGAUAACAUGGUCUUUAACCCACUAGAUAUGAAUGAAUCCAAGGAUAUCAACCCUGAUAACAUGGUCUUUAACCCACUAGAUAUGAAUGAAGCGAACAAUAAAUAUAAUGAUUGUGUUGAUCCAGAUUAAAACAUCUAUAACAUAAACAUGCACUAUUGUAAAGUGGCUGUUCCACUGGAUGUCUUAAGGUGAACGCACCAAUUUGUAAGUCGCUCUGGAUAAGAGCGUCUGCUAAAUGACUUAAAUGUUAAAUGUAAAUCUAUCACUUGUGAUUACUAUAAUGUUAAGCAGAUUAACAACACGUACGACAGUGGAUCUAAUCGCAAGACAAGAUUAUUUUCUACCUUUCAUUUGGAUGUUCACAGUCUUCCUAAAAAUCACAAACAACCACCUUCAGUAUCUGUUUUCUCUCAGCCAUGAAUGAGUUCCCAUUGUUGCCCUUUUCAGAAACCUGGUUGCCUGAAGAGACAAUCUUUAUGACGUGUCUCCUUAUAAUGCCGUUCGCCACUGGAGAACAUCAAGAGUGGGAGGAGGAGGAGGAGGGUCUAUAUUUGUUCAGAAAAUGUUUUCAAUUCUUUGUGAGAGAGGACCGUGGAUUUACUCUUGAUAACAUUGAUGUUGAAUCUCUCCAUAGAAAUUCCCUCGUGUUCAUUUGUUGGUGGUCAAAAAGCGGUAGUUGGAUGCAUCUAUCGGCCACCCGACUCUGGGUAUUUUCAUUGAUUCCUUGCAUUAACCUUGGGUUUGAUUAAUAAUGAAGAUAAAAUGUGUUUUAUAUUGGGUGAUUACAGCAUAAAUGUAUUUGAAAGUGAGAACAUCUCACUGACA